AGUUGCUGAUCAACAGAACUCAAGUAGUUUCCUCAGCAGCUAUGCAAGUUACCAAGACAUCUGCCGAAAAAUAGGCUGGGAGCCCAAAUGUAGCCGACAUACAAUAAACAAUGUAAAGGGAAAACCAUUGCCUUCCAUGCAAUUCUUCCUAGUGAACUGAAAAACACGCCCAUUAACACUAUCAUCAAAUUUCAACAGGUUCAAGUAAACGAAGGAGGUGGAUAUAACCCGGCCACCGGUAAAUUCACAGCGCCGGUAGAUGGCGUCUACUCGUUUUCAUGGACCUAUCAUACAAACAAGGGUUCUGUCGCCUAUCUUGGAGGAUAUGUAGAUGGGACGAUUAAAACGUAUAUAGGCACGUAUACACAGGCAAGCAAAUGGCAAAGCCAAACGGGCAACCUUGUGAUAAAACUAAAGAAAGGAAAUCAAUUCUGGGUACAGACCUACCUGCGAACGGUUCAACAUUUAAACGCAGGUUAUACCUUUGUGUCUGGAUACAAGAUAUCUGGUUGUUAAAAAGCAAUAAACUGGCUGCAAUAA
rnacentral:misc_RNA from 1 species